rnacentral:rRNA from 1 species
CCUACGGGAGGCUGCAGUGGGGAAUAUUGGACAAUGGGGGCAACCCUGAUCCAGCCAUGCCGCGUGUGUGAAGAAGGCCCUCGGGUUGUAAAGCACUUUCAGUGAGGAAGAACGCCUGGUGGUUAAUACCCAUCAGGAAAGACAUCACUCACAGAAGAAGCACCGGCUAACUCCGUGCCAGCAGCCGCGGUAAUACGGAGGGUGCGAGCGUUAAUCGGAAUUACUGGGCGUAAAGCGCGCGUAGGUGGCUUGAUAAGCCGGUUGUGAAAGCCCCGGGCUCAACCUGGGAACGGCACCCGGAACUGUCAAGCUAGAGUGCAGGAGAGGAAGGUAGAAUUCCCGGUGUAGCGGUGAAAUGCGUAGAGAUCGGGAGGAAUACCAGUGGCGAAGGCGGCCUUCUGGACUGACACUGACACUGAGGUGCGAAAGCGUGGGUAGCAAACAGGAUUAGAUACCCUUGUAGUC